CAGCAGCCACGGGAAUACGGAGGGGGCUAGCGUUGUUCGGAAUUACUGGGCGUAAAGCGCACGUAGGCGGCUUGGUAAGUUAGAGGUGAAAGCCUGGAGCUCAACUCCAGAAUUGCCUUUAAGACUGCCGAGCUAGCAGGUGAGAGAGGUAAGUGGAAUUCCGAGUGUAGAGGUGAAAUUCGUAGAUAUUCGGAAGAACACCAGUGGCGAAGGCGGCUUACUGGCUCAUACUGGACGCUGAGGUGCGAAAGCGUGGGGAGCAAACAGGAUUAGAUACCCGCGUAGUCCCUGUCUCUUAUAU
rnacentral:rRNA from 1 species